UAAUCCGACCUAGGCUCAUCUGAUAGCGCAAGGCCCGAAGGUCCCCUGCUUUCUCCCGCAGGACGUAUGCGGUAUUAGCGUUCGUUUCCGAACGUUAUCCCCCACUACCAGGCAGAUUCCUAGGCAUUACUCACCCGUCCGCCGCUCUCAAGAGAAGCAAGCUUCUCUCUACCGCUCGACUUGCAUGUGUUAGGCCUGCCGCCAGCGUUCAAUCUGAGCCAGGAUCAAACUCUA
rnacentral:rRNA from 1 species